rnacentral:rRNA from 1 species
GAUGAACGCUGGCGGCGUGCCUAAUACAUGCAAGUCGAGCGGACAGACGCGUGCUUGCCGCGUCACUCGUUUGCGGCACGCGUGUGUGUCACACGUGUGUAAUCCACUUCUCUUAGUGAGAAGACUUGGGAAAUCCGGAUAAAACCGCGGAUGACGAUUUGAACGAUGUGGUUCUGUAGUGAAUGUGCGGUGUGGGGUGAGCUCGCGGCUGAUCAGCUAGUUAGUGGGGUAAUGGCCUACUAAGGCGUUGACGGGUAGCCGGCCUGAGAGGGUCGACGCGGACAUUGGGACUGAGAUACGGCCCAGACUCCUACGGGAGGCAGCAGUGGGGAAUAUUGCACAGUGGGCGCAAGCCUGAUGCAGCGACGUCGGGUGGGGGAUGACGGCCUUCGAGUUGUAAACAACUGUCGCUAGGGACGAAGCGCAAGUGACGGUACCUGGAGAAGAAGCACCGGCUAACUACGUG